CCUACGGGUGGCAGCAGUGAGGAAUAUUGCUCAAUGGGCGCGAGCCUGAACCAGCCAAGUAGCGUGAAGGAUGACUGCCCUACGGGUUGUAACCUUCUUUUAUAAAGGAAUAAAUUGAGGCAUGUGUGCCUUUUUCUAUGUACUUUAUGAAUAAGGAUCGGCUAACUCCGUGCCAGCAGCCGCGGUAAUACGGAGGAUCCGAGCGUUAUCCGGAUUUAUUGGGUUUAAAGGGAGCGUAGAUGGGUUGUUAAGUCAGUUGUGAAAGUUUCCGGCUCAACCGUAAAAUUGCAAUUGAUACUGGUAGUCUUGAGUACAGGUGAGGUAGGCGGAAUUCGUGGUGUAGCGGUGAAAUGCUUAGAGAUCACGAAGAACUCCGAUUGCGAAGGCAGCUUACUAGACUGCCACUGACAUUGAUGCUCGAAAGUGUGGGUAGCAAACAGGAUUAGAUACCCCAGUAGUC
rnacentral:rRNA from 1 species